GUGCUUGCUUUGGCAGCACAUAUACCAAAAUUGGAACGACACAGAGAAGACCAGCAUGGCCCCUGUGCAAGGAUGACACACAAAUCCAUGAAGUGCUCCAUAUUUAA